rnacentral:rRNA from 1 species
CCUACGGGUGGCAGCAGUGGGGAAUAUUGCACAAUGGGGGAAACCCUGAUGCAGCGACGCCGCGUGAGUGAUGAAGUAUUUCGGUACGUAAAGCUCUAUCAGCAGGGAAGAAAAUGCACGUACCUGAUCAACAAGCAACGGCUAACUACGUGCCAGCAGACGCGGUAAUACGGAGGGCGCACGCGUUAUCCGGAUUUACUGGGUGUAAAGGUAGCGGAGACGGUGAUGCAAGUCAGAAGUGAAAGCCCGGGGCGCAACUCCGGGACUGCUUGUGAAACUGGGUGACUGGAGUGCGGGAGAGGUAAGCGGAAUUCCAGGUGUAGCGGUGAAAUGCGUAGAUAUCAGGAGGAACACCAGUGGCGAAGGCGGCUUACUGGACUGUAACUGACGUUGAGGCGCGAAAGCGUGGGGAGCAAACAGGAUUAGAUACCCGAGUAGUC